rnacentral:rRNA from 1 species
UAACACUAACUGGAGGACCGAACCGACUAAUGUUGAAAAAUUAGCGGAUGACUUGUGGCUGGGGGUGAAAGGCCAAUCAAACCGGGAGAUAGCUGGUUCUCCCCGAAAGCUAUUUAGGUAGCGCCUCGUGAAUUCAUCUCCGGGGGUAGAGCACUGUUUCGGCAAGGGGGUCAUCCCGACUUACCAACCCGAUGCAAACUGCGAAUACCGGAGAAUGUUAUCACGGGAGACACACGGCGGGUGCUAACGUCCGUCGUGAAGAGGGAAACAACCCAGACCGCCAGCUAAGGUCCCAAAGUCAUGGUUAAGUGGGAAACGAUGUGGGAAGGCCCAGACAGCCAGGAUGUUGGCUUAGAAGCAGCCAUCAUUUAAAGAAAGCGUAAUAGCUCACUGGUCGAGUCGGCCUGCGCGGAAGAUGUAACGGGGCUAAACCAUGCACCGAAGCUGCGGCAGCGACGCUUAUGCGUUGUUGGGUAGGGGAGCGUUCUGUAAGCCUGUGAAGGUGGCCUGUGAGGGUUGCUGGAGGUAUCAGAAGUGCGAAUGCUGACAUAAGUAACGAUAAAGCGGGUGAAAAGCCCGCUCGCCGGAAGACCAAGGGUUCCUGUCCAACGUUAAUCGGGGCAGGGUGAGUCGACCCCUAAGGCGAGGCCGAAAGGCGUAGUCGAUGGGAAACAGGUUAAUAUUCCUGUACUUGGUGUUACUGCGAAGGGGGGACGGAGAAGGCUAUGUUGGCCGGGCGACGGUUGUCCCGGUUUAAGCGUGUAGGCUGGUUUUCCAGGCAAAUCCGGAAAAUCAAGGCUGAGGCGUGAUGACGAGGCACUACGGUGCUGAAGCGACAAAUGCCCUGCUUCCAGGAAAAGCCUCUAAGCAUCAGGUAACAUUAAAUCGUACCCCAAACCGACACAGGUGGUCAGGUAGAGAAUACCAAGGCGCUUGAGAGAACUCGGGUGAAGGAACUAGGCAAAAUGGUGCCGUAACUUCGGGAGAAGGCACGCUGAUAUGUAGGUGAAGCGACUUGCUCGUGGAGCUGAAAUCA